GAGGAAAAGAAACCAACAGGGAUUGCCUCAGUAACGGCGAGUGAAGCGGCAAAAGCUCAAAUUUUAAAGCUGGCAUCUUCGGUGUCCGCGUUGUAAUUUUGUGAGGCAUCUCCGGGUAGGGCGCCGGCCUAAGUUCCUUGGAACAGGACGUCACAGAGGGUGAGAAUCCCGUGCUUGGCUGGCUGUCCCCGUCCAUGUGAGGUGUCUUCGACGAGUCGAGUUGUUUGGGAAUGCAGCUCAAAAUGGGUGGUAAAUUUCAUCUAAAGCUAAAUAUUGGUGGGAGACCGAUAGCGCACAAGUAGAGUGAUCGAAAGAUGAAAAGCACUUUGAAAAUAGAGUUAAAAAGUACGUGAAAUUGUUGAAAGGGAAGCGCUUGAGAUCAGACUUCGGUAGGGGGUGAUCAGCCGUCCUUCUGGGCGGUGCACUUGCCCCCUCUCCGGGCCAGCAUCGGUUGAGGCGGCGGGAUAAAGGUCCCGGGAAUGUGGCUCCUUCGCGGGAGUGUUAUAGCCCGGGUGAAUGCCGCCAGUCUCGACCGAGGACCGCACCCGCAAGGGUUAGGAUGCUUGGCAUAAUGGUCUUCAGCGACCCGUCUUGAAACACGGA
rnacentral:rRNA from 1 species